CAACUACUCCCUCUGUCCCAAAUUUCUUGUCUCAGAUUUGUCUAGAUACGGAUGUAUCUAAUACUAAAAUGUGACUUGAUACAUCUGUAUCUAGACAAAUCUAAGACAAGAAUUUUGGGACAGAGGGAGUACUUU
rnacentral:pre_miRNA from 1 species